UACGAAGGGAGCUAGCGUUGUUCGGAAUUACUGGGCGUAAAGCGCACGUAGGCGGACAUUUAAGUCAGGGGUGAAAUCCCAGAGCUCAACUCUGGAACUGCCUUGGAUACUGUGAGGCUAGAGUCCGGAAGAGGCGAGUGGAAUUCCUGGUGUAGCGGUGAAAUGCGCAGAUAUCAGGAGGAACACCGAUGGCGAAGGCAGCUCGCUGGGACGGUACUGACGCUGAGGCGCGAAAGCGUGGGGAGCAAACAGG
rnacentral:rRNA from 1 species